rnacentral:rRNA from 1 species
UACGAAGGGGGCUAGCGUUGCUCGGAAUCACUGGGCGUAAAGCGCACGUAGGCGGAUCUUUAAGUCAGGGGUGAAAUCCUGGAGCUCAACUCCAGAACUGCCUCUGAUACUGGGGAUCUUGAGUCCGGAAGAGGUAAGGUGGAACUGCGAGUGUAGAGGGUGAAAUUCGUAGAUAUUCGCAAGAACACCAGUGGCGAAGGCGGCUUACUGGUCCGGUACG